UACGGGGGGGGCAAGCGUUGUUCGGAAUUACUGGGCGUAAAGGGCUCGUAGGUGGCCAACUAAGUCAGACGUGAAAUCCCUCAGCUUAACUGGGGAACUGCGUCUGAUACUGGAUGGCUUGAGUUUGGGAGAGGGAUGCGGAAUUCCAGGUGUAGCGGUGAAAUGCGUAGAUAUCUGGAGGAACACCGGUGGCGAAGGCGGCAUCCUGGACCAACACUGACACUGAGGCACGAAAGCGUGGGGAGCAAACGGGG
rnacentral:rRNA from 1 species